rnacentral:piRNA from 1 species
UAAUCGAAAAUUAGAAUUUUGAGAAAAAA